AUGGAUAUUAAAUUCAAUUUUCAAAUUUUUUGAUAAAAUUUGGAAGAAAUUCAAUGGUUUAAGAAUGAGAUAUUGGUGUUAAAAGUCUAGCAUUUAGAUUGAAGUAGAUGGUUGUUUAACACAUCAUCGAAUUAUCUUGCAUUUCUUUCAAUUGGUAAUACAAUUGAUUUCAACUUUCUUAUGCUUGUUCUUAACUAAGAUAUUAAAAAGUGUGCAAAUUUUGAGUUGAUAUCAAUGGUUUGAUUAUUAGUUGUUAAGGUUUUAUUUGCUAUAGAGUUUAUUAAGAGUUUAUUUAAAAACCUAGGAUUUGAUUAGGAUUUGGUUUUGAAUUUGGUUUAAAAUUUACUUAAGAUUUGAUAUAGAACUUGUUUAGGAUUUCAAUAGGAUUUUAUUAGGAUUUGAUUUAGAUUUGAUUAAGAUUCAAUUAGAAUUUAAAUU
rnacentral:lncRNA from 1 species